GCACUGAUGAUGUAGCGGUAACAUAAGGGCUUCCCAAGCCUUUCUCACGGGUUCGAGUCCCGUUCAGUGCUCCA
rnacentral:tRNA from 1 species